rnacentral:rRNA from 1 species
GACGAACGCUGGCGGCGUGCCUAAUACAUGCAAGUAGAACGCUGAAGGAGGAGCUUGCUUCUCUGGAUGAGUUGCGAACGGGUGAGUAACGCGUAGGUAACCUGCCUGGUAGCGGGGGAUAACUAUUGGAAACGAUAGCUAAUACCGCAUAAGAGUAGAUGUUGCAUGACAUUUGCUUAAAAGGUGCAAUUGCAUCACUACCAGAUGGACCUGCGUUGUAUUAGCUAGUUGGUGGGGUAACGGCUCACCAAGGCGACGAUACAUAGCCGACCUGAGAGGGUGAUCGGCCACACUGGGACUGAGACACGGCCCAGACUCCUACGGGAGGCAGCAGUAGGGAAUCUUCGGCAAUGGACGGAAGUCUGACCGAGCAACGCCGCGUGAGUGAAGAAGGUUUUCGGAUCGUAAAGCUCUGUUGUAAGAGAAGAACGAGUGUGAGAGUGGAAAGUUCACACUGUGACGGUAUCUUACCAGAAAGGGACGGCUAACUACGUGCCAGCAGCCGCGGUAAUACGUAGGUCCCGAGCGUUGUCCGGACUUAUUGGGCGUAAAGCGAGCGCAGGCGGUUAGAUAAGUCUGAAGUUAAAGGCUGUGGCUUAACCAUAGUACGCUUUGGAAACUGUUUAACUUGAGUGCAAGAGGGGAGAGUGGAAUUCCAUGUGUAGCGGUGAAAUGCGUAGAUAUAUGGAGGAACACCGGUGGCGAAAGCGGCUCUCUGGCUUGUAACUGACGCUGAGGCUCGAAAGCGUGGGGAGCAAACAGG